GACGAACGCUGGCGGCGUGCUUAACACUUGCAAGUCGAACGGAAAGGCCUGCUUUCCCUUGUGGAUUGCGGGUACUCGAGUGGCGAACGGGUGAGUAACACGUGAGUGAUCUGCCCCCAACUUGGGUAUAAGCCUGGGAAACUGGGUCUAAUUCCCGAUAGGACUGCAGGGUGGUGCCUGUGGUGGAAAACGAUUUUCUAGUGGUUGGGGAUGAGCUCGCGGCCUAUCAGCUUGUUGGUGGGGUAAUGGCCUACCAAGGCGGCGACGGGUAGCCGGCCUGAGAGGGUGGACGGCCACAUUGGGACUGAGAUACGGCCCAGACUCCUACGGGAGGCAGCAGUGGGGAAUAGUGCACAAUGGGCGGAAGCCUGAUGCAGCGACGCCGCGUGGGGGAUGACGGCCUUCGGGUUGUAAACUCCUUUCGACCGCGAGGAAGCCACCUGGUUGGAAGGGUGGUGACGGUAGUGGUAGAAGAAGCACCGGCUAACUACGUG
rnacentral:rRNA from 1 species